rnacentral:lncRNA from 1 species
AAUGAGUUAUUAAAUUGGAAGAUGAAUAUUUUGCAGUUCAGUUAACUGCAUCUGUUUAAAAAGAAAUAGUUAUAAACUUGCUGUGGGUCCUCACUUGAAGUGUAAAAUUAGAAGUAAAUAAAUGAGUUAGGAAUUAUUUUCUCCACUGUUUAAACAAAGCUACUUCUCAGGUGGGACAUUAGCUUCCUUGGAGCAAAGCCAAAAUCUGGCUUGGUUAGCCAGAAAAUGUAAACACAUUUCUGUUAAUGUUCAGGGUAGAAAGGAGAACCUCUCCCUUAACUGCUGUGUGAGGCUGGACUAGUUAUUCAAUCUCUCUGGGCCUUGGACCCUUAUCUUUAAAAUGAGGCUAAUAGUGCCUCCUUCAUUAAGUCUUUGCCAGGACUGAAAUGUACACUUCAUAGCAUGAAGCUUGGAUCAGAAAAGCACUCCA